rnacentral:lncRNA from 1 species
CACUUUAACAAAUCUUGCAGCCGCACACUCUUUGGGUCCGCCCGUUUCUCUAAUCAAGUUGUAACACUCGCUGCUGUGGUCCACAGCUUCAUUCCUUGAAGCCCGUGAGACACGAACGCUUCCAUUGAGAAAAACCUUCCAUCAGAAGAAGACUUCUCGUCUCAGUGGGACUGCUGAGUUGAAUGGCCCUAUACAUCAAAAGGUGAAGCUGGGUCAUGAAGGUCAUGAAGGCCCUCAGUGUGCAGCCUCUGUAAACCUGCUAAAACUAUUCUAUGAAAAUGAACAGGACUAUUCUUCCUCAAACAAAGAGAUCGUGUGAUGAAGACUCACCAGAGCUGUUCUCUAUAAGCUUGAAGAGCAAUGGUAUCAGUGAAUUGCCUUUUCAUUUAUUAUCUUGUUUCUCAAGUGGGAUAUAAGUGUCAUGGGGAGGAUCUGAAAAUGGACUCCAUAGAAAGAGACUCUGAGAUGAAAGACACAAAACUGAGAACAUGCUUGAUGAAGAAACACUUGAUGAAGUCUUUCAAAAGUCAGGAACAAGAAAUAGACACAAUGAACACUAGUAACAAACAUCAGACAGCAGGUGCUUUUUUUUCUGAAGCUUUGGUAGUGUAACUGUAAGAGUCCUGGAAUUGGAAAAGCAAAUCCAGAAGUUGAGUUCCAUGACUUUUUUGCUGUUUGCCUUUGGACUUGCAUCAUUUAUAUUUUUAAUUCAUCGAGGAUGAGAAAAUUGAUUAACACAAAAUCUUUUCAUGUCUUUUCUGAUGAGAGACUAGCUGAAUCCAAGAAGAGAAGCCCUUGAAGAGUGUAUUCUAUUCUAGACAAGCAUUCACACAUUGGCUUCUUUGGUGCCAGAGCUAGUUAAUGAGAUUGUUGCUGCCUUCAGAUUCUAUAAAGGACUUCUCCAAUAUUGGAUUAAAGAAUGAAGAAAGGAUCAAAUUGAGACAUCCAGGGGGGAAGAGUUCCCUGGCAAAACUCCAAUCUGCCUGAGCACUGAGGUGGAGCCACAGAAGUCCGGGUCAUUUGCACCUGGGAGGAGCCUGGCCCCUCCUCUUCCUGUGUGGAAUCUGGGAUUUAAUCUGUGAGGAGGGAAGGCCAAGGGCAGGAAGCACAGGCUCUCACUUCACUAAGAGUCUCUGUUUCCCCUUUUUUUCCUUUAUGCCUAAUUAAUAAAUCCCAUUUUUCUCACUCUUCAAA